GUGAGGGAUGAAGGCCUUCGGGUUGUAAACCUCUUUCAGCAGGGAAGAAGCGCAAGUGACGGUACCUGCAGAAGAAGCGCCGGCUAACUACGUGCCAGCAGCCGCGGUAAUACGUAGGGCGCAAGCGUUGUCCGGAAUUAUUGGGCGUAAAGAGCUCGUAGGCGGUUUGUCGCGUCUGGUGUGAAAACUCGAGGCUCAACCUCGAGCUUGCAUCGGGUACGGGCAGACUAGAGUGCGGUAGGGGAGACUGGAAUUCCUGGUGUAGCGGUGGAAUGCGCAGAUAUCAGGAGGAACACCGAUGGCGAAGGCAGGUCUCUGGGCCGCAACUGACGCUGAGGAGCGAAAGCAUGGGGAGCGAACAGGAUUAGAUACCCUGGUAGUCCAUGCCGUAAACGUUGGGCACUAGGUGUGGGGCUCAUUCCACGAGUUCCGUGCCGCAGCAAACGCAUUAAGUGCCCCGCCUGGGGAGUACGGCCGCAAGGCUAAAACUCAAAGGAAUUGACGGGGGCCCGCACAAGCGGCGGAGCAUGCGGAUUAAUUCGAUGCAACGCGAAGAACCUUACCAAGGCUUGACAUGCACGGGAAGCCACCAGAGAUGGUGGUCUCUUUGGACACUCGUGCACAGGUGGUGCAUGGUUGUCGUCAGCUCGUGUCGUGAGAUGUUGGGUUAAGUCCCGCAACGAGCGCAACCCUCGUCCCAUGUUGCCAGCGGGUUAUGCCGGGGACUCAUGGGAGACUGCCGGGGUCAACUCGGAGGAAGGUGGGGAUGACGUCAAAUCAUCAUGCCCCUUAUGUCUUGGGCUUCACGCAUGCUACAAUGGCCGGUACAAAGGGCUGCGAUACCGUAAGGUGGAGCGAAUCCCAAAAAGCCGGUCUCAGUUCGGAUUGGGGUCUGCAACUCGACCCCAUGAAGUCGGAGUCGCUAGUAAUCGCAGAUCAGCAACGCUGCGGUGAAUACGUUCCCGGGCCUUGUACACACCGCCCGU
rnacentral:rRNA from 1 species